UUUGACUUCACCAUAAUACUUAAACUAAACUCAAUUGAUCCUAAGGGCCAAUGUCUACUGAAUUUUAAUUAGGCUAGGAUUAAUGCAGGAUGCUGGUUGAUUAUUUUUGAGCUAAAAAAUGGUGAUGAAAUUUCUACCUUAUCUUGCUAUGGGUGUUGCCCUUAAAUUGAUUUAAGAUGAAGGUGCCCAACCAAUUUCAAACAAGGAGAUCUAUGUAACUAAAUUAGAUGCAUGAAACUAAGAACCAGAUCUA
rnacentral:lncRNA from 1 species